rnacentral:rRNA from 1 species
AGCGGGAAGUAGUUUACUACUUUGCCGGCGAGCGGCGGACGGGUGAGUAAUGUCUGGGAAACUGCCUGAUGGAGGGGGAUAACUACUGGAAACGGUAGCUAAUACCGCAUAACGUCUUCGGACCAAAGUGGGGGACCUUCGGGCCUCACGCCAUCGGAUGUGCCCAGAUGGGAUUAGCUAGUAGGUGGGGUAAUGGCUCACCUAGGCGACGAUCCCUAGCUGGUCUGAGAGGAUGACCAGCCACACUGGAACUGAGACACGGUCCAGACUCCUACGGGAGGCAGCAGUGGGGAAUAUUGCACAAUGGGCGCAAGCCUGAUGCAGCCAUGCCGCGUGUGUGAAGAAGGCCUUCGGGUUGUAAAGCACUUUCAGCGAGGAGGAAGGCCAAUAACUUAAUACGUUGUUGGAUUGACGUUACUCGCAGAAGAAGCACCGGCUAACUCCGUGCCAGCAGCCGCGGUAAUACGGAGGGUGCAAGCGUUAAUCGGAAUUACUGGGCGUAAAGCGCGCGCAGGCGGUUUGUUAAGUCAGAUGUGAAAUCCCCGCGCUUAACGUGGGAACUGCAUUUGAAACUGGCAAGCUAGAGUCUUGUAGAGGGGGGUAGAAUUCCAGGUGUAGCGGUGAAAUGCGUAGAGAUCUGGAGGAAUACCGGUGGCGAAGGCGGCCCCCUGGACAAAGACUGACGCUCAGGUGCGAAAGCGUGGGGAGCAAACA